rnacentral:tRNA from 1 species
GGCAAGGUGGUCGAGUGGUUAAGACGUAAGACUGUAUGUUGCCAUGUUAUUCCUUCACGCACCAUUCCAUAUCUAAUUCCUUCUCUAGUGAAUCCAACCAUUGGAUGUUAUCUUAUCCCUUCGGGGUCGCGCGUUCAAAUCGCGUCCUUGUCG